UCCUCUUCCGUUUCCUCUUCAUUCUCCCCGACCCAAGCACCCGCGCCAUCUCCUUGCUCGCCUUCUCCUCUUCCCUGAGCCCGAUCGCCUUCCCCUCUCGCGACGUCUCUUCUCCCACGCCUACAAAAUUGCCAGCCAAGGAGAAGCCUCGAGCCUCUCUCUUCUCCCCUCGUCAUCUUUCCCUCCCCUGCCGUCGCCUCCUCGUCGCGGAGAUCCCGAUCGCGCUGAUCACCACGAGAUCACCGCACGACAGCGGUCUUCCCCUUCCGCGUGGCUCACCAAUGCCAAGCUCUCUUGGCUACUAGGCGGCCCGAUUUUCUUCUUCCUUCCCCUCUCGCACCUGUGCCCUAGACACUGCCGGUGUUAUCACAGUUGGCACCAUCGCAUCCGACCACCGGACCGGGCUACUCCAGCAACGCUGUGCCCUAGCCCCCAACCACCGCCGGCCAUUUCUGGUCUUUCUGAUCAUAGGUGCCACCUCUGCAUGAGGCGAUCUUUGGCCAAAGGAGGAGGGUUCGAGCCCUAGUUUGGUCUCCCUCCUCCCAUACGCUGGUGUUGAGGUAUUAUUGUCGAUCUCCUCCCAUGCCUUAGAUUCCACUUCGAGCCAGUGUUUCGCAGGUAUGAACAGGGAUACGUGGUGCCCUAGAUGCCAUAGUUUUCUUCAUCCUUUUCGUUGGGGAUAAAUAGAAUCCUUUACCUUCUUUUCGUGUGUUAUUAUCUUUCAUCUGUACAUAUCUGAGGUGGUUUGGUUGGAGGAUAGAAAUACAAGUUUGCUCUGUCCACCAAUUUCCAGUGGCAAGCAUUCAUGGUAGUAAACUGUCAAGGAAGCAAUUAGUAUUGAGGUAUGUAUGUUUAGGUAUAAAUUUUAUAUGGGUUUCAUUAAGUAAAAUAGGUUGAGUAACCUUUAUGAAGAAGAUAGAAUGAUUAGGGUUAAUGGAGCUAACCCUAGUUGAUCGAUGGAUUAGAUUUAGUUGGGGAUUUGAUUUAGCUAAUUAAUUUAUAUGUAAUUAGCUAAAUUUGUAUAUUAUGAUUUGCAAGACUUUGAUUCGAGACGAGCGUCUCGACAUGGGAUCCAUCUGAUACGAUAUCCAUUUUUUAGGCAAGUACUCUAACUUAUCUUUUGAUAUUGUCAUCUGAUAUGCUUAGUAGGUUGUAACUUGCAGUAAUAGUUAUGUUUGUUUCUGUUUGGUAUGUCACUACUUGAUACCUGUAGCAUGCCUUAUUUGUUGUUUACUAUACAUCCAUGCUUAUACCUUCUUGAUUAUUGCUAUGUGUAUUAUGUUCAUAGAGGUAGUGAUGUACCAUGCCUUAUUGUGUUUAGGACUAGUUAUUUUCCAUACCUGCUAGAUGUACCUAGAUCAUUUUAUUGGAUCCAUUUACUAUUUGGUACAUACUUUUUGGAUAUGGACAUAGUCAGGAUUUUCAUACUUAGUGUCAUGCACCAUCUUGCAUGAUUGUAUGCUGAGCGAUUGUCGACUCCAUUAUUGUUGAGCACAUCACUUCAGUUACAUGGAUCUGCACACACAACCACUCAUGGGUUAGUGGUAUAUCAGGCAGGGUGUGUGGCAGUUUUGCUCUGUCAGGCUUCGCUGGUCCGCUCAUGGGUAGUGUUGACUACAGCGUGGUAGCGGGCAGGGACCCUUCCUCUGGACUGACUCAAGGAGAUGAGAGCAUUGCGCUCCCCCACUUAUGAUUUGGGAUAGGAUGAUAGGUGUACUCCGACAGCAUCCUGUCCACUCGAUCACUCAGGAGUAGUGAUGGCAGAGUGCACAGUUAUCAUAGCCCUACCCACUAGGUCUCACCAUCUGUGCGAAAUGGCUGACUGGCGUCAGUGGUGACCAUGUCAUUUGCAUCAUAUGCAUCGAUUGCAUUAUUGCUUGUGAUUGUUGUAUUUUGGAUGCUGUAUUUUUUUAGGUUGCAUAUGAUUGACAUGCAUACAGGAGACAUGAGGUAUCUGGUCUGGCAACCCUUAUAUCAGGAUAGGAGGCCUUGGUUGAAGCUGUCAGGAUAUUCCAAUCGCUAGUCCCCACUAGGUGUCGAGGUGGUUUUAUAUUAUCGGACUUAUGUUUCCUUGUUAGUGAACUACAUAUUGGUGAUAUAUGCGUUUUGCACUUUGGAUUUUA